AUGCCCACCCAGUAGACCGCACCCACCCUGGCUACACCACCCCACCCCGCCGAGGGCAACCACAAUGCUGAUGCGGCCCUCAAUGAAAUUGAGUUGACACCCCUGUCCUAGGAGAAGGUGCUACCUUACCUACCUUCAUUUUGAUACCUGAUACCGUUCAGUCUUUGGAGAACUGUCUUUCUUAAUCUGUUUCUGGUUCACUGCUGAAAACCAUUUGGAUGGGUACUCAUCCAAGAAUAUUUGCAUAACUAAUAAGGGAGAGUGUAAUCAUCUUCCAGUCUAUCAAGACUAAAUUCCAUGCCCUUGCUUCUAAUUUGGACAUUCCCAUUUCAGGCCUGAGGGCUGCACUCUUUGGGGCUGCAUGUAAAGACCUUUCAGCCUAGACAAGAAGCAUACCCAGGAGUAUUAGUUCUAUCUUUAUUGUAAUGUUACAUCAACAGAAUCUUGCAAGUCUAAAAGUACAUCUAUCCUGCCAUCACUUUUACAAUCCAAGAAACUAGGGAGGGUCCAUUCUAAGACAUUUGUCACUCUCCCAUUCUUUCUAUGGGCUUAGCUUUCUCUUCUCUGAUCAUUGCCUAGCCUACAGCUCUUCUGUGUGUCUCCAAGGUCAUUCUCGCAUAGCAUGACAGGACACUAAAUUUCUUGUUUGCAUAAAUUCACUUUUUAUAAAAUAUACAGUCUUAUUUGGGCUCCAAAUCAAGCUUGGAUAAGGAUUUUGGUCUUGGACAAUUUUAAUUCCAUUCCAUUAAUUCUUCUUUGAAGUAAGACAAUUUCUUGAUAGCUGUAGAAGACUGUGAGGUUACAUAUUUGUCAUGAGCUUUCCAAGUUCCCUGCGAAUGGAAAACCAUUCCCAGAUAUUUAAAAGGAGCACCUCGAUUUUAUUUCCAUUUAUUAUCCAACUAAAUUGCUUUGCUUUCUUUGAAAACACCAGGACUUUAGAUUUUUGAUCAUUUAUAAUCAGCUGGUUUGCCCUGCUAAUUGUUAUGGCUUUCAUAGCCUUUCUGAGUCCUGGGAAUAGCAUGUACUAAAGCUAUGAGUAGCAGCACCAUGCAAAUCUGUUCCAGGUACAUACCCUGUUGUGAGGGCAGCAAGAUUUAGAAUGGGUUGAUAUCCUACUGGCUUUGGCAUGGGAGGAAAUUCCAGCAAUGCAACUAUGGGGACUUGCCCUUAUAGUUGAAACAACAGUAUUACACAUGCCUCAUCCAGUAAAAACAAGUACACAGUAACGAUUGAGAAUGGUACUCCAACAUGGUUAAAUGAUAGCUCCUGACUAAAUUAUGUUUUCAUAGUAAAUGUUGCUGCCUUCAAAAAUGAGGAAAACAAAGUUCCAGCAACAGACUUGACUUGACAUCAAUACCGGAAGAUCCUAGAACAGAGUAUACAGUAAAAAGAUAAUCUCAACCUCCUUGCAUGCAGAAUUUUACACAGUACAAAAGGAGUGGCCGAUGGCCUGAGGAGUCCUCAAGCAAAAGCCAACACAAAGGACAAGAAGAGAGGAAGUAUGAAGUAGCAACAAAUAGAAGGAAAUUACCCAAUGUUUUCGGUUCCCAUAAAAUUGCAGCAGGGUAAGAGAUACUGCAACAUCCUAAGGACAAAUUUGUAUUGCCAUAAAUGUUAAUUAACUAAACUCCAUUUCAUCAGAUAUUUUAUCUACUAAUUACAGCUUUCUAUUAAGGAUUCUUCUGACAUUAGAAGGAAAUGGAAGUGUGUAAAGACUUCAGGUCCUGAGCACUGUGCAAUGUUGUUUGAGUUAACCCCCCAGAACAGGAUUUUACUCUUGCUUGCUUUCCCUUGCGGACACCAUGUCCAACACCAUAUAUACCUGGAGGAUCCGUCAAUGGAAUCCAUUUCCUUAAAAAACUUCUUUCCACUGAUAGAUGGUCAGUGAAGACAAUCCUAGGACAAUUUUAUUAAGCUUAAGAGUAUGUUAAAUAAUUACUAUGAAUAUUUACAAAUCAUUGGUUUAUGGUAUCAAUUCCAAAGUGGGUUCUCGUAAGCUAUUUAACAGCUAUAGGGGUUAACUGAAGCACGGUUAAAUGAAUGAAAAUUAUUAAUGUUUAUUGAUUUAUUACAAAAUAUAUUUUUGUGUAAAAACAUUCUAGUCAAGGGCUUUUGAUAGACUUUUGUAGUAUUCGGUUUUGUUUUAUUAACUUUUGUUCCAUUAUUUUUACCGGUGUGAGCACCAUAGAACUUAAAAUUUCUUUCUACGAAAUGGGUACAGGAUUGUGUUAUGAUUUUUUUUAUAGAUAUAACUUUCUUAUUCAGAUCUUAUUGAAAUCUAUGCUAAAAGCUUCUAUUCAUGGAAUGUUUCUUCCUACCAAUGUGUCAUUAAUACUGACUUUGAGAUUUAAUUUGUUAGGUUGGAUGGACUCAUAUAAUAUGAUGAGUUUAUCAAUUAGGUUCAGGAGUAUGAUCCCAAGAUUAAUUGCCAACCACCUGCCAUUGCGCUUAAACAUUCAACAUUUUAUAGUCUAUUUCAUUAUAUUAAUGGACAUUUUCCCCAAUCCUUUAUGUUUUUGAAAACCUGAAAACAUAAUCCAACUCUCAGCUUGAUACUGAUAUACUCUAUUAAUUCUAAUCUCUCACAAUUUUACUGUAUAUUUUAAUUGCAUUAAAUGAGCAGUGCUCCUGCACUGCUGAUCUGGAAAAAGAUAAUUUUGCACUCAAGGUCAGAUGGAAAAAUUUGCAUUCAUAUAAUCCCCACCCUUCAAGGUGAUAAACAAAUACUUAUAAUAAUUGUAUGACUAAAUUUCAAAAUAAUGUCUGAAAUAGGGAUGAUCUCAUUAGGCAAAUAGUCAUUCAAAAAAUAGCAGAACCCUCAUUAGUAUUACAAUAUUCGGUAUGAUCCAUUUUGCAAAGUUUCAGCUAGCCCAAUGUCAUGUCUCUAAGUAAUGAAAUGGAGUCAAAGUUUUAUGUUUAAUGUUAUAUUUAUCAUAAACCCAGUAGGAAGUUGCUAUUUAUGCUAUCCUUUUUUCAGUUCAGGAAUCCAGAUUAAAGCAUUUCUGAUGGAUUCAAAAGACUGUUCAACUUUUAUCUGGACAGCUUCAUCAAAGGAGAGCUGAUCACCUUCUUUAAUAAUUAGUUCCACUCUUGAACUGCCCAUGUCGUUAAGGAAGCUUUCUUAACAUUGAGACAGAAUCUGUCUCCCUAUAAAAUAAGAUCUUUGCUUCCUAUCCUGCAUAGGAUUGAUAAAGAUUCAUUGAUAAAAUAACAUUUGAUUAAGUUCAUCCUAGAGAAGGAAAAUUUAAAACCAUAAGCAGCAACAACACAAAUACAUUUCAGAAACGAGGUGGCUAAAGAUAAAUAUUCUGCUGUACAGUAGUUAAUUUGAGUAAAGUUAAGGACAGAUGGGGAGAACAAGAGCCAGACAGCAAUCUUUUUGUAGCUCUAAAUCAUGGCACAAACAAGAGUUAGGCCUAUCAACCCCCCUUAGCUGACUGGAAAACCUACAUUAAACUAAAUCAUCUUCAUCUAGAAAUUUCUGUACAUAUUGUAAGUUAUUGAGAAAAGGUAAAAGCUCCAGCAAUUCCUGAGGAAAGAUGAAUUUGAACCAAUAAUUAGUUUCAUAAAUCUGGGAUCUUGCUUGAAUUGAUGUAAUCCUCACAUCCAAAUAGAAGAUAGUGUUGGAUAUACAGCCAUAUAAUGAAAAUAGCUCAAAAAAAUUUCAAUUGGAUUAUUACCAAACCAUCUUUAUCAGAAAUGGCCAGAUAUUUAUAAGAAAUCUGAGAUAUCACCUUAACCUCAAAAGCUUUCAGGAUUCAAUAAAACCUUCAGCUACUUGAGAUUUUUUUUUUCUAUCCUUAUUCCAUCUUUUAUCAAGGCCAAACAUAUUUAGUUCCUUUAAUCUCUCGUAUGAGUUUUCAGUCUUUAUCACCUUUACACUUGUUCCGGUUUGACCAAAUAUCUUCUAAAAAUGUAACCAAACCAGAUCAGAAUCAAGAUGAUCGAUAUAUUUAGUCCAUGAAUGAUUGGGCUCGUUUCUAAAUUUGGGAUUCAAAAGUGCAUGCACCUGCCAGGUAUCACAUCUGUAGCUUUUUGCUAUUUGGACUUUGGAAAAACUAAUCUUUAUAUUAUUGUACACUACAUGCAGGAUGCAACCUAAUUCGUAUGAGCUUUGUGAGCGAAGGCUUGGUGAACUAUUUCCACAGGAAAAAUGUCAUGUCGUUUUCUAAUUUCCAUAGUUUAAUGAAGAUAUGCAUACAGAGAGUAACAUGCUAAUCAUAGUAUUCUGCAAAUGAAACAAUAUUUGGAAACAAGGAAACAGCAGGAUAGAUUUUGUAAUCUGGAACUAAAUGCACUUGUCUCCUUGGGAACCACACUGGCCUUUUCUCUACAUCCUCCCACUCCUUGCUCCACACCCCCAACCUAUUUUGUUCAUUUCAUUCCUUUUGAUACAGGUUCUUUGAAAUAAAGAGCUGGAUCAUAAAA